GCUGUCGGAGCUCAGCCCUCCUGCCUCGCCGGCAUUUUUCGCGACUGUCGGAGACUUGCGCACUUCGCAGCCCUUAUUCAUCUCUCUCGUGUGUGGUGUUGUUGCUCUGUUUUCUCUCCCCUGUUCUUGUGUCGUCAUUGCGGUUGGUUCUUGCCGUUGUUCUGUGCCGCUGUGGUCUGCUGCUACCUCACCGGUGCUCAACAGGCCUCGCGAAGCACCGCUUCUGAAGCUUCGAAACCCCCCCUCCUUCAUCCCUUUGUUCUUUGCUGCUCACGCAGAGCAGAGCUUCGAAAACCUCCCUCAACCCCUCUGUUUCUCUAUUCUUCGCUGCUCCUAAUAGAGCAGAGAGUCAAACAUUGUUGCAGGUUUGGUGUUGCGAGCUCAGGAUUCUGAAGUGAAGCAAGAUAAAGAUGUCGUCGGAGCUUAUGGAUUGAGUUUGUAUUUUAGAUAGUCAAUUAUGGAAUAGUUUCUAAUAUACUUCAU